rnacentral:rRNA from 1 species
UCGCCCUUAGAGUUUGAUCCUGGCUCAAGACGAACGCUGGCGGCGCGCCUAACACAUGCAAGUCGAACGAGCGAGAGAGAGUUUACUUUUUCGAGCGAGUGGCGAACGGGUGAGUAACGCGUGAGGAACCUGCAUCAAAGAGGGGGGACAACAGUUGGAGACGACUGCUAAUACCGCAUAACCCCACGACCCGGCAUCGGGUAGAGGGAAAAGGAGCAAUCCGCUUUGAGAUGGCCUCGCGUCCGAUUAGCUAGUUGGUGAGGUAAUGGCCCACCAAGGCGACGAUCGGUAGCCGGACUGAGAGGUUGAACGGCCACAUUGGGACUGAGACACGGCCCACACUCCUACGGGAGGCAGCAGUGGGGAAUAUUGCACAAAUGGGGGAAACCCUGAUGCAGCGACGCCGCGUGGAGGAAGAAGGUCUUCGGAUUGUAAACUCCUGUUGUUGAGGAAGAUAAUGACGGUACUCAACAAGGAAGUGACGGCUAACUACGUGCCAGCAGCCGCGGUAAAACGUAGGUCACAAGCGUUGUCCGGAAUUACUGGGUGUAAAGGGAGCGCAGGCGGGAAGACAAGUUGGAAGUGAAAUCCAUGGGCUCAACCCAUGAACUGCUUUCAAAACUGUUUUUCUUGAGUAGUGCAGAGGUAGGCGGAAUUCCCGGUGUAGCGGUGGAAUGCGUAGAUAUCGGGAGGAACACCAGUGGCGAAGGCGGCCUACUGGGCACCAACUGACGCUGAGGCUCGAAAGUGUGGGUAGCAAACAGGAUUAGAUACCCUGGUAGUCCACACUGUAAACGAUGAUUACUAGGUGUUGGAGGAAUUGACCCCUUCAGUGCCGCAGUUAACACAAUAAGUAAUCCACCUGGGGAGUACGACCGCAAGGUUGGAACUCAAAGGAAUUGACGGGGGCCCGCACAAGCAGUGGAGUAUGUGGUUUAAUUUGACGCAACGCGAAGAACCUUACCAAGUCUUGACAUCCUGCGACGGUGCUGGAAACAGUGCUUUCCUUCGGGACGCAGAGACAGGUGGUGCAUGGUUGUCGUCAGCUCGUGUCGUGAGAUGUUGGGUUAAGUCCUGCAACGAGCGCAACCCUUAUGGUCAGUUACUACGCAAGAGGACUCUGGCCAGACUGCCGUUGACAAAACGGAGGAAGGUGGGGAUGACGUCAAAUCAUCAUGCCCUUUAUGACUUGGGCUACACACGUACUACAAUGGCGUUAAACAAAGAGAAGCAAGACCGCGAGGUGGAGCAAAACUCAGAAACAACGUCCCAGUUCGGACUGCAGGCUGCAACUCGCCUGCACGAAGUCGGAAUUGCUAGUAAUCGCGGAUCAGCAUGCCGCGGUGAAUACGUUCCCGGGCCUUGCACU